UGAUCCUGGCUCAGGACGAACGCUGGCGGCGUGCCUAAUACAUGCAAGUCGAGCGGACAGAAGGGAGCUUGCUCCCGGAUGUUAGCGGCGGACGGGUGAGUAACACGUGGGUAACUGCCUGUAAGACUGGGAUAACUCCGGGAAACCGGAGCUAAUACCGGAUAGUUCCUUGAACCGCAUGGUUCAAGGAUGAAAGACGGUUUCGGCUGUCACUUACAGAUGGACCCGCGGCGCAUUAGCUAGUUGGUGGGGUAAUGGCUCACCAAGGCGACGAUGCGUAGCCGACCUGAGAGGGUGAUCGGCCACACUGGGACUGAGACCGGCCCAGACUCCUACGGGAGGCAGCAGUAGGGAAUCUUCCGCAAUGGACGAAAGUCUGACGGAGCAACGCCGCGUGAGUGAUGAAGGUUUUCGGAUCGUAAAGCUCUGUUGUUAGGGAAGAACAAGGCGAGAGUAACUGCUCGCACCUUGACGGUACCUAACCAGAAAGCCACGGCUAACUACGUGCCAGCAGCCGCGGUAAUACGUAGGUGGCAAGCGUUGUCCGGAAUUAUUGGGCGUAAAGGGCUCGCAGCGGUUUCUUAAGUCUGAUGUGAAAGCCCCCGGCUCAACCGGGGAGGGUCAUUGGAAACUGGGAAACUUGAGUGCAGAAGAGGAGAGUGGAAUUCCACGUGUAGCGGUGAAAUGCGUAGAGAUGUGGAGAACACCAGUGGCGAAGGCGACUCUCUGGUCUGUACUGACGCUGAGGAGCGAAAGCGUGGGGAGCGAACAGGAUUAGAUACCCUGGUAGUCCACGCCGUAAACGAUGAGUGCUAAGUGUUAGGGGGUUCCGCCCCUUAGUGCUGCAGCUAACGCAUUAAGCACUCCGCCUGGGGAGUACGGUCGCAAGACUGAAACUCAAAGGAAUUGACGGGGGCCCGCACAAGCGGUGGAGCAUGUGGUUUAAUUCGAAGCACGCGAAGAACCUUACCAGGUCUUGACAUCCUCUGACAACCCUAGAGAUAGGGCUUUCCCUUCGGGGACAGAGUGACAGGUGGUGCAUGGUUGUCGUCAGCUCGUGUCGUGAGAUGUUGGGUUAAGUCCGCAACGAGCGCAACCCUUGAUCUUAGUUGCCAGCAUUCAGUUGGGCACUCUAAGGUGACUGCCGGUGACAAACCGGAGGAAGGUGGGGAUGACGUCAAAUCAUCAUGCCCCUUAUGACCUGGGCUA
rnacentral:rRNA from 1 species